GUGGGGAAUAUUGGGCAAUGGGCGAAAGCCUGACCCAGCAACGCCGCGUGAAGGAAGAAGGUCUUCGGAUUGUAAACUUCUUUGAUCAGGGACGAAAGAAAUGACGGUACCUGAAGAACAAGCCACGGCUAACUACGUGCCAGCAGCCGCGGUAAUACGUAGGUGGCAAGCGUUAUCCGGAUUUACUGGGUGUAAAGGGCGUGUAGGCGGUUCUGCAAGUCAGAUGUGAAAUUCCCGGGCUUAACCCGGGCGCUGCAUCUGAAACUGCAGAACUUGAGUACUGGAGAGGAUAGUGGAAUUCCUAGUGUAGCGGUAAAAUGCGUAGAUAUUAGGAGGAACACCAGUGGCGAAGGCGGCUUACUGGACUGUAACUGACGCUGAGGCGCGAAAGUGUGGGGAGCAAACAGGAUUAGAUACCCCUGUAGUCC
rnacentral:rRNA from 1 species